AACGAACGCUGGCGGCGCGUCUUAAGCAUGCAAGUCGAGCGGCAAGUGCAGCAAUGCACCUAGAGCGGCGGACUGGUGAGUAACACGUGGGUGAUCUACCUUUGGGUUGGGGAUAGCCUGUGGAAACACAGGGUAAUACCGAAUACGGUCGCCGGAUCGAGGUCCGGCGAAGAAAGGAGCUACGGCUCCGCCUUGAGAUGAGCCCGCGGCCCAUUAGCUAGUUGGGGGUGUAACGGACCACCAAGGCGAUGAUGGGUAGCCGGCCUGAGAGGGUGAACGGCCACACUGGGACUGAGAUACGGCCCAGACUCCUACGGGUGGCA
rnacentral:rRNA from 1 species